CCGAUCGGGGAGGAUGAACUCAUCUCCUUCAUCGUCGCCGGGCUUGAUAUGGAGUAUCAGCCCAUCAUCUCUGCACUUUACGUCCGCACCGAGCCCAUCACCGUCGGCGCGCUCUUCUCUAUGGUGGCAAACUUCGAUC